CGCAGAUUCGCAGUCGAAACGAGCGCGCCGCGCCACCAGCAGCGCCCCUAGCGGCAGCGCCCGCAACAACGACUAGAGUUCAACCAAAUCUUUUGUUUGGAUUGGAUCUACGUACUUUGGCGCGCAAUACUGCCGUCUGCAGGUAGUACUUGUUACUCGAAUUCUGAGUGAUAUCUAACCUCUGAGAGUACGAGUAGAGCUGCUAUCUUUCAUCACCACCACAGUGAUAUCGAACCUCUGAGAGUACGAGCAGAGCUGCUAUCUUUCAUCACCCUAGGCAAGUUUGGCGUUUGAGUUGCUGUGUCCAAGGUGCACCCUCCUCCCUUUUCCUUGUAUCAAUGCCCUGUCAGCCACUUACUGCUCCUGGUGAGUUUUAAUCCAUUACACAGGUGUAUCACACCUUGUUAAUUGUUUUCAUUUUCUGUCCCCGAGCUGAUGAGCAGGGUGUUGCGAUGGUCAUUAGCAGCUGUGAGCUUCUGUAGGCCAGCUGACUUUGUCGAAUGUUUAUCAUAAAGUCACGCCUGUGAGCUGAUUGGCGGCCAGGCUUGUUGCCAUCUUUUGCCUCCUCAGGUCGUUGAGAUUGGUGUUGGCACCUGAAAGCUUGUGGAGGCCCACUGCUUUUGUGGAAUGUUUAUCGUUGAGUGAUGCCUGUGAGCUGAUUGGCGGCCAGGCUUCAUCUGAGCGUUGGCCUCUUCAA